GUACUUAUUUCAGAAGCACAUGCACUAAAAUUGAAAUGUUACAGAGGAGAUCAGCUUGGCCUUUCUGUAAAUAUGACAUACAUUUUUUGUGAACCAUUCCAUAUAAAA